rnacentral:rRNA from 1 species
GACGAACGCUGGCGGCGUGCUUAACACAUGCAAGUCGAACGAAGUGGCGAACGGGUGAGUAACGCGUAAUCAACCUGCCCUUCAGAGGGGGACAACAGUUGGAAACGACUGCUAAUACCGCAUACUGAAGGAGGGGAUUGCGUCGGAUUAGCUAGUUGGAGGGGUAACGGCCCACCAAGGCGAAGAUCAGUAGCAGGUAUGAGAGGAGGAACGGCCACAUUGGGACGGAGACACGGCCAAGAUUCAUACGGGAGGAAGAAGUGGGGAUGCUUCCGCAAUGGACGAAAGUCUGACGAAGCAACGCGGCGGGAGUGAGGACGGCGUUGGGGUUGUAAAGCUCUGUUAAUCGGGACGCGGUACCGGAAUAGAAAGCAACGGCUAACUACGGGCCAGCAGCCGCGGUAAUAC